GACGAACGCUGGCGGCGGGCUUAACACAUGCAAGUCGAACGGAAAGGCCCUGCUUUUGUGGGGUGCUCGAGUGGCGAACGGGUGAGUAACACGUGAGUAACCUGCCCUUGACUUUGGGAUAACUUCAGGAAACUGGGGCUAAUACCGGAUAGGAGCUCCUGCUGCAUGGAGGGGGUUGGAAAGUUUCGGCGGUUGGGGAUGGACUCGCGGCUUAUCAGCUUGUUGGUGGGGGAGUGGCUUACCAAGGCUUUGACGGGUAGCCGGCCUGAGAGGGUGACCGGCCACAUUGGGACUGAGAUACGGCCCAGACUGCUACGGGAGGCAGCAGUGGGGAAUAUUGCACAAUGAGCGGAAGCCUGAUGCAGAAACGCCGCGUGCGGGAUGCCGGCCUUCGGGUUGUAAACCGCUUUCGCCUGUGACGAAGCGUGAGUGACGGUAAUGGGUAAAGAAGCACCGGCUAACUACGUG
rnacentral:rRNA from 1 species